GACGAACGCUGGCGGCGUGCUUAACACAUGCAAGUCGAACGGUAAGGCCCCAGCUUGCUGGGGUACACGAGUGGCGAACGGGUGAGUAACACGUGGUUGACCUGCCCCGCACUUCGGGAUAAGCCUGGGAAACUGGGUCUAAUACCGGAUAGGACCGCACCGUGAGGGUGUGGUGGAAAGUUUUUCGGUGUGGGAUGGGCCCGCGGCCUAUCAGCUUGUUGGUGGGGUAAUGGCCUACCAAGGCGGCGACGGGUAGCCGGCCUGAGAGGGUGGACGGCCACAUUGGGACUGAGACACGGCCCAGACUCCUACGGGAGGCAGCAGUGGGGAAUAUUGCACAAUGGGCGGAAGCCUGAUGCAGCGACGCCGCGUGGGGGAUGACGGCCUUCGGGUUGUAAACUCCUUUCACCAUCGACGAAGGUUUUCUGACGGUAGAUGGAGAAGAAGCACCGGCUAACUACGUG
rnacentral:rRNA from 1 species